rnacentral:lncRNA from 1 species
CCACCCGUUGUACUUGAGAGUAGAUGAUGUAUAGGGUGUGAGGUUUCAUUUUGGAAAUGUAAGCUUUAUGUUUAUAUUUUGGAAGUUUAAAUGUAAUGUAAAUGAGAUGUAAAUUUGUGAAUUGAAUGGAUGUAAUAGAUAGAUGUUCUCUCUUUAUUGUUACUUGUAUGCUAUAUACUUGUACCUUGCUCUUACCUGUUAGCACUGGUCGUGCACUUCGUGAUUGUGUACUCGUGAAUUGAUUCCUGGGUAAAUUCUUGUACAUGAUCUGUUUGCUUAGCCUUGGGCGGACAGGGGAGGUGCUGUCCGCUCGGCGUCUGUUCGAUGCGCCCGAACCGGACCAAAUUGGGCGGUCUCGGGGCGUAACAAUAAUUGGGUUUUACUCAUUGUUCGGUUGAAGAUGAAAAAGUACUCGUUGAAAAGUUAUACUGUUAGUGCGCAACAGAGUAGUCUAAUGUUGGUCCGGUUUUGGUUUCUCUGAACUUUGACAUCGAUGCGAUGCAAAUUUACACACUCGGGUAAUAAUAAAAUAAUAUAAUUAGGUUUUACUUUUUGUUCGUUUGAAUGAGAAAAAGUAAUCAUUGCAAAGUUAUAAUCAUAUGGAGCAACUGAGCAGUCUAAUAUUUUUCCGGUUUUGGUUCUUCCGAAAAUUAACAUCGAUAUAUUGCAAAUUUACACUCUCGGGGCAUUAUAGAACAAUAUAAUUAGGUUUUACUCUUUGUUCGUUAGAAUGAGAAAAAGUACUCAGUGCAAAGUUAUAAUCUUAUGGAGCAACUGAGCAGUCUAAUGUUUUUCCAGUUUUGGUACUUGUGAACGUUGACAUCGAUAAGUUGAAAAUUUACACUCUCGGGGAAUAAUAGACCAAUAUAAUUAGGUUUUACCCUUUGUUCGAUUGAAGGAGAAAAUGUACUCGUUGAAAAGUUAUACUGUUAGGGCGCAACUGAGAAGUCUAAUGUUGGUCCGGCUUUGGUUCUUGUGAACGUUGACAUCGAUACGUUGCAAAUUUACACUCUCGGGGCAUAAUAGAACAAUAUAAUUAGGUUUUACUCUUUG